GAUGAACGCUGGCGGCGUGCUUAACACAUGCAAGUCGAGCGAGAAGUUUUGAAAAGAUUCUUCGGAUGAAAUUUAAAAUGGAAAGCGGCGGACGGGUGAGUAACGCGUAGGCAACCUGCCCCAUACAAAGGGAUAGCAUUUGGAAACGAAUAUUAAUACCUUAUGAAACUUAACUAGUGCAUGCUAGGUAGGUCAAAGAUUUAUCGGUAUGGGAUGGGCCUGCGUCUGAUUAGCUAGUUGGUGAGGUAACGGCUCACCAAGGCGACGAUCAGUAGCCGACCUGAGAGGGUGAACGGCCACAUUGGAACUGAGACACGGUCCAAACUCCUACGGGAGGCAGCAGUGGGGAAUAUUGCACAAUGGGGGAAACCCUGAGGCAGCAACGCCGCGUGAACGAUGAAGGCCUUCGGGUCGUAAAGUUCUGUUCUAGGUGAUGAAAACUGACAGUAACCUAGGAGAAAGCCCCGGCUAACUCCGUG
rnacentral:rRNA from 1 species